rnacentral:rRNA from 1 species
AACGCGAAGAACCUUACCAGGUCUUGACAUCCCAUUGACCGGUCCGUAACGGGACCUUCCCUUCGGGGCAAUGGAGACAGGUGGUGCAUGGUUGUCGUCAGCUCGUGUCGUGAGAUGUUGGGUUAAGUCCCGCAACGAGCGCAACCCUUAUCUUUAGUAGCCAGCAUUUCGGAUGGGCACUCUAGAGAGACUGCCAGGGAUAACCUGGAGGAAGGCGGGGAUGACGUCAAAUCAUCAUGCCCCUUAUGAUCUGGGCUACACACGUGCUACAAUGGUGACUACAAAGAGACGCAAGACUGUGAAGUGGAGCAAAUCUCAAAAAGGUCAUCUCAGUUCGGAUUGUAGUCUGCAACUCGACUACAUGAAGCUGGAAUCGCUAGUAAUCGCGAAUCAGAAUGUCGUGGUGAAUACGUUCCCGGGCCUUGUACACACCGAUACUC